rnacentral:tRNA from 1 species
AGGGGGCACCCAGAUUUGAACUGGGGACCUCUUGAUCUGCAGUCAAAUGCUCUACCCCUGAGCUACACCCCC